rnacentral:rRNA from 1 species
GGGCGGCAAGGGGGAGGGAUCUUCCNUAGAGCGGCGGAUUGGUGAGUAANGCGUGGGUGACUUACCCCGAGGGUUGGGAUAGCNUCUAGAAAUAGGGGGUAAUACCGGAUACGGUUGUUUCANGACGGUGGGACAAAGAAAGGAGNUCCGGNUCCGCCCGGGGAUGGGCCCGCGUCCCAUUAGCUAGUUGGGGGGGUAAGAGCCGACCAAGGCGAUGAUGGGUAGCCGGCCUGAGAGGGUGAACGGCCACACUGGGACUGAGAUACGGCCCAGANUCCUACGGGAGGCAGCAGCUAAGAAUAUUCCGCAAUGGGCGAAAGCCUGACGGAGCGACGCCGCGUGUACGAGGAAGGCCGAAAGGUUGUAAAGUACUUUUNCCGCCGGAGAAUAAGCGGGGGAGGGAAUGCCCCCGUGAUGACGGUAGGCGGGGAAUGNNGCCCCGGCUA